rnacentral:sRNA from 1 species
CUUUAACAAUCUGGAACAAGCUGAAAUUUGAAACGAUGCGGCGACGAUUAUCUUUGGUGAUAACGUGGCUGUAUCAGAGUCUCUCAAAUAAUCGCAGCGCGAAUGUGACUUGAUGUAUCAAAAAGACACCUUCGG